UGAAAUAGCUCACAGUUAAGAGAGCGUUAGACUGAAGAUAUAAAGGUGCCUGGUUCGAUCCCAGGUUAAUCAU
rnacentral:tRNA from 1 species